rnacentral:lncRNA from 1 species
AAGCAGUAUGCUGAAGUAUAGCACAAGCAGUCAAAGGCCAUCAUGCAAGCUUCCCUGAUAUUUGUCUGGGGUGAGGACUCAGUGCACAUCUACUGACACUUUGCAACCUCAGGACGUGCCUCUAUGACAUAUUGAUACCUCACUGUUAACACAGAGGUCAAACCAGGGCUCCACAGAAUGUUGUCAAAAAAUGUCUGAAUGUUUCAAUCCAAAGUAAUUUUACCCUAUGAAUUUUGAAGCAGAAGCACCUCAUCAAACACUUGUUGCUUAGCGUUUGACAUGGCAGUCCCUUUUCAGAAGGAAGAAAUUAUGGACGGAGAGGUGCCUGCAAACAAUACAAAUGAAGCCCUAGUCUGAGAGGAGCAGCACGGGAACACAACUGGCAGUCAGUGGACCACAGACUGGGAAAUUGUUUCAGCCUUUUUGGCAGUGAAUAAGAAACAAGA